rnacentral:rRNA from 1 species
GACGUAGGGCGCGAGCGUUUGUCCGGAUUUAUUGGGCGUAAAGAGCUCGUAGGCGGCUUGUUGCGUCGACUGUGAAAACCUGCGGCUUAACCGCGGGCUUGCAGUUGAUACGGGCAGACUAGAGUGUGGUAGGGGAGACUGGAAUUCCUGGUGUAGCGGUGAAAUGCGCAGAUAUCAGGAGGAACACCGAUGGCGAAGGCAGGUCUCUGGGCCACUACUGACGCUGAGAAGCGAAAGCAUGGGGAGCGAACAGG